GUGCCAGCAGCCGCGGUAAUACCGGCAGCCCGAGUGAUGGCCGAUCUUAUUGGGCCUAAAGCGUCCGUAGCUGGCUGCGCAAGUCCGUCGGGAAAUCCACUCGCCCAACAGGUGGGCGUCCGGCGGAAACUGUGUGGCUUGGAACCGGAAGGCUCAGAGGGUACGUUCGGGGUAGGAGUGAAAUCCCAUAAUCCCGCACGGACCACCGAUGGCGAAAGCACUUCGAGAAAACGGAUCCGACAGUGAGGGACGAAAGCCAGGGUCUCCAACCGGAUUAGAUACCCCGGUAGUCC
rnacentral:rRNA from 1 species